GAGAUCCACUGCAGAAAUAUCCAUGAAGACAUCUAUCAGAGGCUGGAGUUGCUUACAUACACAACAUGUAAGAACUUAAGACAUCUAUCGACGCUUUGACCCAGAUCGAUUAUGCAGGUCCAACAGUUGCUCAAGUGACACAAAAGACCACCUGUCCUCAACUUGUGCAAAUACCUUCUGAUUGAGAGAAUCUAUAAUAAUACUAAUGUUACCAAAACCAUAUAUCUGAUGACCAUCUUGCAUCCUGCCAGGCUUAGGCUUGAAC
rnacentral:misc_RNA from 1 species